GAUAAACGCUGGCGGCGUGCCUAACACAUGCAAGUCGAACGAUCCCGCAAGGGAGAGUGGCGGAAGGGUGAGUAACACGUGGGAAUCUACCUCCUCGCAGGGAACAACCUCUCGAAAGAGAGGCUAAUACCCAAAGGGUCAGAAAUGAUCAGAGUCGAAAGGCGUGAGGAGAGGAGCCCGCGGCCCAUCAGCUAGUUGGUGAGGUAAUGGCUUACCAAGGCUACGACGGGUAGGGGAUCUGAGAGGAUGUCCCCCACACUGGAACUGAAACACGGUCCAGACGCCUACGGGUGGCAGCAGUGAGGAAUAUUGGACAAUGGGCGAAAGCCCGAUCCGGCAACGCCGCGUGGAGGAUGAAGGCCCUUCGGGUCGUAAACUUCUUUAGAGGGAGACGAGAAAGGACGGUAUCCCUAGAAUAAGCGACGGCAAACUACGUGCCAGCAGCCGCGGUAAU
rnacentral:rRNA from 1 species